rnacentral:rRNA from 1 species
AGAGUUUGAUCCUGGCUCAGGAUGAACGCUAGCGGCAGGCUUAACACAUGCAAGUCGAGGGGCAGCAUAAUGGAUAGCAAUAUCUAUGGUGGCGACCGGCGCACGGGUGCGUAACGCGUAUGCAACCUACCUUUAACAGGGGGAUAAUCCGAAGAAAUUUGGUCUAAUACCCCAUAAUAUUUCAGAAGGCAUCUUUUGAGGUUGAAAACUCCGGUGGUUAAAGAUGGGCAUGCGUUGUAUUAGCUAGUUGGUGAGGUAACGGCUCACCAAGGCAACGAUACAUAGGGGGACUGAGAGGUUAACCCCCCACAUUGGUACUGAGACACGGACCAAACUCCUACGGGAGGCAGCAGUGAGGAAUAUUGGUCAAUGGACGCAAGUCUGAACCAGCCAUGCCGCGUGCAGGAAGACGGCUCUAUGAGUUGUAAACUGCUUUUGUACGAGAGUAAACGCUCUUACGUGUAAGAGCCUGAAAGUAUCGUACGAAUAAGGAUCGGCUAACUCCGUGCCAGCAGCCGCGGUAAUACGGAGGAUCCAAGCGUUAUCCGGAUUUAUUGGGUUUAAAGGGUGCGUAGGCGGUUUGAUAAGUUAGAGGUGAAAUACCGGUGCUUAACACCGGAACUGCCUCUAAUACUGUUGAACUAGAGAGUAGUUGCGGUAGGCGGAAUGUAUGGUGUAGCGGUGAAAUGCUUAGAGAUCAUACAGAACACCGAUUGCGAAGGCAGCUUACCAAACUAUAUCUGACGUUGAGGCACGAAAGCGUGGGGAGCAAACAGGAUUAGAUACCCUGGUAGUCCACGCAGUAAACGAUGAUAACUCGUUGUCGGCGAUACACAGUCGGUGACUAAGCGAAAGCGAUAAGUUAUCCACCUGGGGAGUACGUUCGCAAGAAUGAAACUCAAAGGAAUUGACGGGGGCCCGCACAAGCGGAGGAACAUGUG